rnacentral:ncRNA from 2 species
GUUUUAUUGGGAAGCGUUGAAGUAUAACCUUUAUCUGGACACUUGGGUUGUAUGGAGCUAAUAGUGUAACCGGCCCUCUUAUUU